rnacentral:rRNA from 1 species
AUUGCUUGAGACACGGCGCGUCUUGGGACCGGGAGAAGUCAGAGUAAUGCCUUAGGGAGCGGUAAAAUGUGAUAAUCCAAGGUAGACCACCUGCGGCGAAGGCGUCUGACUAGAACGGAUCCGACGGUGAGGGACGAAGGCCAGGGGAGCGAACCGGAUUAGAUACCCGAGUAGUCCUGGCAGUAAACGCUGUGUGCUAGGUGUUGCGUGUCUUUAAGGACUCGCAGUAUCGAUGCGAAGGCGAUAAGCACACCACCUGGGAAGUACGGUCGCAAGACUGAAACUUAAAGGAAUUGACGGGGGAGCACUACAAGGGGUGCGGCGUGCGGUUUAAUCUAACUUAACACAGAGAAUCUCACCAGAGGCGCCGGCAGUAUGAAGGUCAGUCUAAAGGGCUUACCUGACGAGCCGAGAGGUAGUGCAUGGCCGUCGUCAGCUCGUGCCGUAAGGUGUCCUGUUAAGGCAGGCAACGAGCGAGACCUGCAUCUACAAUUGCCAGCAUGUUCUACGGAAUGAAUGGGCACAUUGUAGGGACUGCCGUGGAAACACGGAGGAAGGUGCAGGCUACGGUAGGUCUGUAUGCUCCGAAUCUUCUGGGCAACACGCGCGCAACAAUGGUAAGGACAAUGGGAUACUACUCCGAAAGGAGGCGUUAACCCUCUAAACCUUAUCUAAGUACAGAUUGUGGGUUGUAACUCACCCACAUGACGAUGGAAUCCCUAGUAAUCGGAAGUCAACAUCUUCCGGUGANAUACGUCCCUGCUCCUUGCACACACCGCCC